UUCUAUAGCGGAAGGUGAAGGAGGAGAUAUAGUAAACUCCCUAAAGGUCUGUAUGGGUAAAACCUCAUAUAUAUCAAGAGGGUCAGAAUGGUCAGAAGAGGUAAAGAAAGGUUUAGACUCAAAAAAUGUGACAUCGGCUGACAUAAAGUACCUACGAAGAUCAGGUGAAUAACAACGAUAGCCCUUCUGAGCACGAGAAUAACCAAGGAAGACACACUUGAGAGCACGANNNNNNNNNNNNNNNNNNNNNNAGAUAUAGCCAGAUGGUCAGAAUGGUCAGAAGAGGUAAAGAAAGGCUUAGACUCAAAAAAUGUGACAUCGGCUAACAUAAGGUACCUACGAAGAUCAGGUGAAUAACAACGAUAGCCCUUCUGGGCACGAGAAUAACCAAGGAAGACUUUGCGAGCAUGAGGAGCUAACUUAUCAUUCCCAGGGGCUAAGUUAUGAACGAAACAAGUGCUCCCAAAAAUACGAGGGGAACA
rnacentral:lncRNA from 1 species